rnacentral:rRNA from 1 species
GGUAGCCGGCCUGAGAGGGCGACCGGCCACACUGGGACUGAGACACGGCCCAGACUCCUACGGGAGGCAGCAGUGGGGAAUAUUGCACAAUGGGCGCAAGCCUGAUGCAGCGACGCCGCGUGAGGGAUGACGGCCUUCGGGUUGUAAACCUCUUUCAGCAGGGAAGAAGCGCAAGUGACGGUACCUGCAGAAGAAGCACCGGCUAACUACGUGCCAGCAGCCGCGGUAAUACGUAGGGUGCGAGCGUUGUCCGGAAUUAUUGGGCGUAAAGAGCUCGUAGGCGGCUUGUUGCGUCGAUUGUGAAAGCCCGGGGCUCAACCCCGGGUCUGCAGUCGAUACGGGCAGGCUUGAGUUCGGUAGGGGAGAUCGGAAUUCCUGGUGUAGCGGUGAAAUGCGCAGAUAUCAGGAGGAACACCGGUGGCGAAGGCGGAUCUCUGGGCCGAUACUGACGCUGAGGAGCGAAAGCGUGGGGAGCGAACAGGAUUAGAUACCCUGGUAGUCCACGCCGUAAACGGUGGGAACUAGGUGUGGGCGACAUUCCACGUCGUCCGUGCCGCAGCUAACGCAUUAAGUUCCCCGCCUGGGGAGUACG